rnacentral:rRNA from 1 species
CCCUGCCAUUUGUACACACCGCCCGUCGCUACUACCGAUUGAAUGGCUCAGUGAGGCCUUCGGACUGGCCCAGGGAGGUCGGCAACGACCACCCAGGGCCGGAAAGUUCGUCAAACUUGGUCAUUUAG